GGGUGGAGAGGGUUGGAGAGGGAUGAAAGGGGUGGAAAGGGGGUGGAGAAGGAUCGAGAAAUAGGGUGUAAAGCUUAGACAUCUCAACCGCGAGACCGAUGAUUACCAAGCGUGGAGAGUGUGGGUUAGGGGAAAAAAGAGAAAGAUAAAAAGAUAAAGAGAGAAAGAAGAGAGAGAAUUUAGAUAAGGUCGACUAAGCACUAAUCGAACGAGCUCGCAAGUCUCUUUUAUCAUAAGCGUUAAUAAUUCGCUUAGUAAUUUACUGAACGAAGCGAAUAAGAGUCGCGAUGAGUUUCACAUGAAUUAACAAACGGUCCUCGACAAGAAUAGAGAGAGAGUGAAGCUAGUUAGAAAUAGGCAAGGCAGGCAGGCAGGCAGGCAACUAUACCAUGGAAGACAGUCAACAGGCAACUAGCAACAAGAUAGACAAUAGUUUCUAUGAUAGCAGAGAACAGGUAAUAUAUGUAUGGCCAGGUAGUAGACAAUCUGAUAGACAAAACGCAAACAAACACGUGCUGACUAAAAGCAAUUGCUGUUAUAUAUCUUAUCCCAUUUCCAUUGCAAUCAAGUACUACCUAGUAUUAUCCAGCAGCUUGCUAAACACGUAAUACCACUAUCUCAAACUUUCUACAUGUGCGAUGUAACUCGUCUAUGAAGCAAGAAAGAAUUUUAAAAAAUGUAGGAAAAAGUUAAGUUAAAGAUAAAAAAGAAAAAAAAAUAAGAAGAAAAGAAAAUUCUUAUUCAUUCCACUAGAAAUAAUUAAAACUAAUAUCCCCGAGAAACUUACGGGACGAAACUCGAAAUAACACGCUUUACCUCGAUGAAAUUGAUUAUUUUAUCGAUUACGAGAAAAAGAUUUAAUUACGACGCAGAUACUUCUCGAUUUACCUCUGUUCUUUUGAUGUACCUCCAUCGCCGAAGGAUAAAUUUCGAGAGAAGAGUUUCCCAUUUUCAAAUGAUAAAACAUUUUAUAAUUAUACUUUCUAUACACAUGCACAUCUAACUUACACAUCUAUAAUUUUCUAUCUUUUCAAUUCCCUUCAAAACUUUGUCUCUAAUUUCUCUUGAAAAACCCCUCGAAACAAUGUUUAUCUUUAUUUUCAACAUUUAUUAAUAAAUCUUUUUACUUUUCACGA
rnacentral:lncRNA from 1 species